CUCGUUCACAGUGGGAACGUUUUCGGGAGGCAGCUCCGGGCGCACAAGAUACGGGUCAGGCGUGCCCAGAAGACAUAUGGCAGCUCGGGACAUCGUGCUUGGGGAUUUCGUAAGGAGUUCCUUAGCGCCAGGCACCUGGGCGGCGUACACUAAGGUUUGGACGGAAUGGGAGGAGAUGGUAGGGCAGACGGGAGGGGAGUCCUCUGCAG